rnacentral:rRNA from 1 species
UACGAACCCGUCCAAACGUUAUUCGGAUUCACUGGGCUUAAAGGGCGCGUAGGCGGGCGGACAAGUCCGGGGUGAAAGCCCCCAGCUCAACUGGGGAAGGGCCCCGGAUACUGGCCGUCUGGAGGGAGGUAGGGGCAGGUGGAACUUCCGGUGGAGCGGUGAAAUGCGUAGAGAUCGGAAGGAACGCCGGUGGCGAAAGCGGCCUGCUGGACCUUCUCUGACGCUGAGGCGCGAAAGCCA